CCUACGGGGGGCUGCAGUGGGGAAUAUUGGACAAUGGGGGCAACCCUGAUCCAGCCAUGCCGCGUGUGUGAAGAAGGCCCUCGGGUUGUAAAGCACUUUCAGUGAGGAAGAACGCCUGGUGGUUAAUACCCAUCAGGAAAGACAUCACUCACAGAAGAAGCACCGGCUAACUCCGUGCCAGCAGCCGCGGUAAUACGGAGGGUGCGAGCGUUAAUCGGAAUUACUGGGCGUAAAGCGCGCGUAGGUGGCUUGAUAAGCCGGUUGUGAAAGCCCCGGGCUCAACCUGGGAACGGCAUCCGGAACUGUCAAGCUAGAGUGCAGGAGAGGAAGGUAGAAUUCCAGGUGUAGCGGUGAAAUGCGUAGAGAUCGGGAGGAAUACCAGUGGCGAAGGCGGCCUUCUGGACUGACACUGACACUGAGGUGCGAAAGCGUGGGUAGCAAACAGGAUUAGAUACCCUAGUAGUC
rnacentral:rRNA from 1 species